rnacentral:rRNA from 1 species
GGAACAGGGUAUAAUGAUAGCGCACGGUGGUAGAGUCAGGGUAUGUGAGCCCUUUUUCUCCGCCACGCUUGCAGCUGCCGCCGUCUCGAGGCCGCUCGCCGCCGGCCGUAACAGGAACGCUAGGUGCGCGAGUGCUCGUCCGCCGCAGAAGGGGGAGGCGGAGGUACGGCAGGGGCAGGAGGAGGAGGAGGAGGGGUGUGGCCUUCGAGGAGAUGAGGAACUAAACGACCCGCCACGUCGCCACGGCCUACAGCCUCAGCGGCACGGCCGAGCGUCAGAGGGAGUUCCCAGGGAGCCUGGGGCGGCGCAGGAGCCGGGACGCGCAGAGGCAAAGCCUGUGACCUCAGCCCUCGUUCGACCUCCUCAAGGACCUCGACCUACGGGACCGCGCGCUCUGGGGGGACCUCUUUACCCUACCAUGGGAGAAUUAGUGUUGAUGACCUUAGUUACUGUUUCGAUAAAUAGUAAUGGCUAAAUUAGAAGUACUCUUGCGUAGAAGUUCAUGUUCUACGUCGUUCUACCGAUGGUGUAUGUUCUUAUUACGUUUUAAGUCACCUUGACUUCAUACAGAAACGGAAAGUUUACUGCGACUAUAACUACUGAAGUAUAAUACCGACCAACCAAAACGUGCGUUCCAUGUGCACGAUUCUCGUCGAUUGAAUCGUUAACUCGAGAGAUAACUCGUUUGUUAUUCAAGACCUAGUUCUUUACAAGCAGACGGUUUACUUAGACUACUAUGGGUAGAAAGAUAACGGUGUAGUUCAUAACUCGUCGAUCAAAGACCAGAACUUCUAAUACGUGAGAGUGUACCCUUGUGUACACUGUUCACACUACGUACAACAUACUUAUCUCUAGCAGACUUCCAACCUUGACCUAGACGGUUCUUAAGUCUGUCUUCUUCUCUAUUUCCCGAUGAACAACUUUAUCGGUAUUACCAACGCGUAUGACGUAGACUAAACUCAACAACCUACCAAUUAACAAGUAGAUGAGUCCAAAACGUAAAAGUUCUGAAGCAUGGGACGGGGUAAAGUGUCAGUAGGAAGUUACACGAGUACUCAUACCUGACCGUUUCGAAGCCAAAGUUCAAUUUUCCUCCAAAGUACCUACUGCUUCCUUUACGACACGAACUCACCCUAUUGGACUGUAAACGAGCACAACUAUAACGGUAAGUGUGAAUGGUACCUUAUCAUGUUCUUACCGUCUCUAGACUUGGUCUAUUUAUACAACACUCCUUCCGUGAAUUCGAACGUAACGUAUUGGACUUUCGUUUAGUACGUCCUCUCAAAUAGUCAACAGUACCUUUCUUCUAGGAGCUCAUGCAGGGGCUGGAGCGCGUCAGCUAGCGGCCGGACUAGAGCAGCAGGUUGCUGGCCCUCAAGGCUCUGCUUACGCGGCGCGAGGAGCCCGACCCGAGGCCAGUUCUGCAGAGCCUUCCCCGCCAGUCCAGGACGUAGCCGCUGUCCUACCGGGCGUAGUAUCUCUACCCGCUGCCGUUCCUCUUCCGGCUCCUGCCGCGCGGCGGGAUGGACAAGCUCACGCUCUUCGACCUACUUCUGUCGGGCGACGAGCUGCUCCUUCUACCUCUGCUGCUGUACUAAAAACUAAAGAUCGUAGCAUCAGUUGAUCCUCAUACUAUGCUGUCGGCACGAUCUAUUCAAAUACAUGCGACUGUUCGCAGCAACGAAGGAAGAGGGCAUUUACAUAUUUGUAGUGUAUAUACAGCAUGCUCUACAAUGGUAUAAAACAUACUUAAACCAAUUUAAGUUUGUCUAAACUGGAUCUAGGUUC